rnacentral:rRNA from 1 species
AGCAGCCGCGGUAAUUCCAGCUCCAAUAGCGUAUAUUAAAGUUGUUGCAGUUAAAAAGCUCGUAGUUGAAUUUCGGGAUCAAUAUGUCGGUCGUGCCUUCGGUACGUACUGGCAUCAUUGGUUUCUCCCUUCUGACAAACCAUGAUGUCAUUAAUUUGGUGUUAUGGGGAGUUAGGACUGUUACUUUGAAAAAAUUAGAGUGUUUAAAGCAGGCAUUAGCUUGAAUACAUUAGCAUGGAAUAAUGAAAUAGGACGUUUGACCCUAUUUUGUUGGUUUCUAAGAUCGACGUAAUGAUUAAUAGGGAUAGUUGGGGGCAUUAGUAUUCAAUUGUCAGAGGUGAAAUUCUUGGAUUUAUUGAAGACUAACUACUGCGAAAGCAUUUGCCAAGGAUGUUUUCAUUAAUCAAGAACGAAAGUUAGGGGAUCGAAGACGAUCAGAUACCGUCGUGGUCUUAACCAUAAACUAUGCCGACUAGGGAUCGGAUGAUGUUAAUUUUUUAAUGACUCAUUCGGCGCCUUA